CCGGGUUUGUGCCAUUGGGGAGAUCUUCAUGGGCUAUACUUGGCCUUGUCUCAGGAUGGACCUGAGCCCUAGGACCAUGCCUCAGGCCUACCUGGCCUGAUGACUCUUUGCUAUCCCCAAGCCACCUGGCCGCACUGCUGCUCCAGUUUCAACUGUUCUGCGGCUAUGGAACCCUGACCUGUUCACCGGACCUGCUACCUGUCCCAGACCUGCUGUUUUCAACUCUCUAGAGACAGCAUGAGCGGUAGAGAUACUCUGAAUGGUCGGCUAUGAAAAGACAACUGACAUUUACUCCUGAGGUGCUGACCUAUUGCACCCUUGUUGACCACUGUGAUUGUUAUUUGACGCUGCUGGUCAUCUAUGAGCAUUUGAACAUCUUGGCCAUGUUCUGUUAUAAUCUCCACCCGGCACAGCCAUAAGAGGACUGGCCACCCCUCAGAGCCUGGUUCCUCUCUGGGUUUCAUCCUAGGUUCUGGCAAUUCUAGGGAGUUUUUCCUAGCCACUGUGCAUCUACACCUGCAUUGCUUGUUUGGUGUUUUAGGCUGGGUUUAUGUACAACACUUGCUGAUGUAAGAAGGGCUUUAUAAAUACAUUUGAUUGGAUUUGAA